CGGCAACAGCUCAAAUUUGAAAUCUGGCCUCUUUCGGGGUCCGAGUUGUAAUUUGUAGAGGAUGUUUUGGGUACCGCGCUGGUUUAAAUUUCUUGGAACAGAACGUCAUAGAGGGUGAGAAUCCCGUCUAGAAUCUAUAGCCGUAUCCAUGUGAAACUCCUUCGAC
rnacentral:rRNA from 1 species